GUUUUAAUAAUUUAAUAAAAAUAUUUGUCUUGUAAACAAAAAUAAGUAACCUUUUAAAACUU
rnacentral:tRNA from 1 species